GCGAGCUGGAGGGCAUCUACCGCCUGCAUGCAGGUGAGGAAACUCCGCCCAUCAUCGCGGGACCCGACCUCCCUCACGGGAGGAAGCCGAGAGGUUUAGCUCUGGAGCAGAAACGAUACUCUCCCAGGAGCAUAUCGAGGAUGGCGAGAGCCUGAGAGCCCCUGGAGGAGGUGAAACGGCCAACUUCGGAGGAUGCAAGCCCAAAGAAUCGCCACAUCCCCCCCGCGGGAGGCGAGUGGUCGGGCGCUUAGACGAAUGAUGCCUCUUUCCGCGCGAAAAUCGUGGAAGAAAACAGAAGGCGGGUUACUCCCAGCACGC
rnacentral:RNase_P_RNA from 1 species